GGGGGAGUAACACGUAAUUGGAAGCGUAUCAGUCUUCUAAACUGUUCCGAAAGGUCUGCGGGUUCGAGUCCCGUCUCCCUCU
rnacentral:tRNA from 1 species